rnacentral:rRNA from 1 species
CCUACGGGUGGCAGCAGUGAGGAAUAUUGGUCAAUGGGCGGAAGCCUGAACCAGCCAAGUCGCGUGAGGGAUUAAGGCCCUGCGGGUCGUAAACCUCUUUUGCCGGGGAGCAGAGGUCCGGACGUGUCCGGGCCGGGAGAGUACCCGGAGAAAAAGCAUCGGCUAACUCCGUGCCAGCAGCCGCGGUAAGACGGAGGAUGCGAGCGUUAUCCGGAUUUAUUGGGGUAAAAGGGUGCGUAGGCGGAUUUUUAAGUCAGCGGUAAAAUGUCCGGGCUAAACCCGGGCCGGCCGUUGAAACUGGGGAUCUUGAGUGGGCGAGAAGUAUGCGGAAUGCGUGGUGUAGCGGUGAAAUGCAUAGAUAUCACGCAGAACUCCGAUUGCGAAGGCAGCAUACCGGCGCCCGACUGACGCUGAGGCACGAAAGCGUGGGGAUCGAACAGGAUUAGAUACCCCAGUAGUC